AGCGCAGGCGGGUUGGCAAGUCCUUGGUGAAAUCCUGAGGCUUAACCUCAGGACUGCCAAUGAUACUGCCGAUCUUGAGUGCAGAAGAGGAAGAUGGAAUUCCUGGUGUAGCGGUGAAAUGCGUAGAUAUCAGGAAGAACACCGGUGGCGAAGGCGGUCUUCUGGUCUGUAACUGACGCUCAUGCUCGAAAGCGUGGGGAGCAAACAGGAUUAGAUACCCUGGUAGUCCACGCCCUAAACGAUGGAUACUCGAUGUCGGGUCGCAAGGCCCGGUGUCCAAGCUAACGCGUUAAGUAUCCCACCUGGGGAGUACGAUCGCAAGGUUGAA
rnacentral:rRNA from 1 species